UACGGAGGGGGCUAGCGUUGUUCGGAAUUACUGGGCGUAAAGCGCACGUAGGCGGCUUUGUAAGUUAGAGGUGAAAGCCCGGGGCUCAACUCCGGAAUUGCCUUUAAGACUGCAUCGCUAGAACGUCGGAGAGGUGAGUGGAAUUCCGAGUGUAGAGGUGAAAUUCGUAGAUAUUCGGAAGAACACCAGUGGCGAAGGCGACUCACUGGACGACUGUUGACGCUGAGGUGCGAAAGCGUGGGGAGCAAACAGG
rnacentral:rRNA from 2 species